rnacentral:rRNA from 1 species
AGCGAACGCUGGCGGCAGGCUUAACACAUGCAAGUCGAGCGGGCGUAGCAAUACGUCAGCGGCAGACGGGUGAGUAACGCGUGGGAACGUACCUUUUGGUUCGGAACAACACAGGGAAACUUGUGCUAAUACCGGAUAAGCCCUUACGGGGAAAGAUUUAUCGCCGAAAGAUCGGCCCGCGUCUGAUUAGCUAGUUGGUGAGGUAACGGCUCACCAAGGCGACGAUCAGUAGCUGGUCNGAGAGGAUGAUCAGCCACAUUGGGACUGAGACACGGCCCAAACUCCUACGGGAGGCAGCAGUGGGGAAUAUUGGACAAUGGGCGCAAGACCUGAUCCAGCCAUGCCGCGUGAGUGAUGAAGGCCCUAGGGUUGUAAAG